rnacentral:rRNA from 1 species
UGGGGAAUAUUGCACAAUGGGCGCAAGCCUGAUGCAGCCAUGCCGCGUGUGUGAAGAAGGCCUUCGGGUUGUAAAGCACUUUCAGCGAGGAGGAAGGCGGUGAGCUUAAUACGCUCAUCAAUUGACGUUACUCGCAGAAGAAGCACCGGCUAACUCCGUGCCAGCAGCCGCGGUAAUACGGAGGGUGCAAGCGUUAAUCGGAAUUACUGGGCGUAAAGCGCACGCAGGCGGUUUGUUAAGUCAGAUGUGAAAUCCCCGGGCUCAACCUGGGAACUGCAUUUGAAACUGGCAAGCUAGAGUCUCGUAGAGGGGGGUAGAAUUCCAGGUGUAGCGGUGAAAUGCGUAGAGAUCUGGAGGAAUACCGGUGGCGAAGGCGGCCCCCUGGACGAAGACUGACGCUCAGGUGCGAAAGCGUGGGGCAGCAAACAGGAUUAGAUACCCCUGGUAGUCCAGCGCUGUAAACGAUGUCGAUUUUGGAGGUUGUGCCCUUGAGGCGUGGCUUCCGGAGCUAACGCGUUAAAUCGACCGCCUGGGGAGUACGGCCGCAAGGUUAAAACUCAAAUGAAUUGACGNGGUCAUAGCUGUUUCCUG